rnacentral:lncRNA from 10 species
CGGGAGCGCGCAUGCGCAGCGCUGCUGGCCCGCUCUCUGAGGAGCUUUCAAUACUUUGGGGUCAAGUUUGAGGCAGUUGUAACUGUACUGAGUUUAGUUUUGCUAAUAAUGGUAUUCUACGUGUGUCAGCCUCGUGUGGACUUCUGUAAUGACUAAUGGAUAUGUUUAUAUCCUGAGCAUUUGCUGUAGGAAUUUUAAAUGCAAUCCCAAAACUCAAGAUUACCUUAUUUGGAGAAAUAUUCGUGUUACUAUGUUUAAAAUUUAAUAGAACCAUAUUUUACCUUUCACUUUGGGACUCGCACAGGAUGUUUGCAGCUCUUGAUAUACAGGAACUAGAACGUGUCUUUUAAGAGCAUGCGGUUUUAUAAUUACGUGGAAGUAUGCUACGCAAGGGAAAAAAGCCUCUUGCUAGUGUUAAGGGUCUUCAUAAACAGAAACCGCAAGGAACCUGGGAUCUGACAGCUGUUGGAGGAAUGCCUGUGAGGAAGGAGGAGGAACAGAAGAAUGCUUUGAUGUCUUAAAUGGUACAUCCAAACUUAAGUGAAAUAGAGCUGUGAGGACAUUUUGGGGAGAAGUGACCUAGAUAAGCACUGACUGUUGCAUUCAUCUCUCUUCUUGCUGAUUGUGAUGAUUUCCUGUGCCAUAGCCAUUCAAAGUCUGCCAAAAAAGGUGUGACCUAGUAUAUUCCCAGCUGUGGUGGCCACGCAGAGAGACUCCUGCUUGAGGAAAGGAGAGGGAAGAGCCUUGCCUCCUGGAUGGCAUUUUUGAACCCACCCUGGGCCAGAGGGGAGCCCACUUCUUUGAAGACAGAAACACAGGACUGGCAACAUUUACCAUAAGCUGACUGAGCAGCCAUUGGGCCUUGAGUGAACAUUGGUGGUAGCCAGGCAGUACUUGUCUCAGUACUUGCCUCAGGCCUGGGGUGUCGGUGACCACAGGGAGAGCAUCCAUCUGCUUGAGGAAAGGAGAACAAAGAAAAUAAAGGGCUUAAUCUUGCACUUGAUUGCCAGCUCAGCCAUAGUAGAAUACAGCACCAAGUAAAUUCCUAAGGAUCCUGAUUCCAGGUCCUGGCUCCCAGAUGACAUUUUAGGACUUGUCUUGGGCUUAGGGGGAGCUCGUCAUACUGAAGGGAAAAACACAAGCCUGGCUGGAUUUGCCACCAGCUGAAUAAAGAGUGCUUGGGCCUUGAGUGAACAUUGGCAAUAGCCAAGGAGUGGUCACCAUGGACCUUAGGCAAGAAACCCGGUGCCGUGCUGGCUUUGGAUCUGACCCAGCAUAAUCUCACUGGUAUUUUACUUCUUGUCCAUUUACUUUUUAGUUUAUCAUACACACCAUGUUUACUAGUACUAAAACUGUCUUAAAAUAUUGCAAUUUUGACCCUUUUUCUAAUUGACCUUUAUGUUUUUACAAGCACAUUUUAUUACAUAUGAAUGAGACUUUACUAUGUUAUAUGUAACUCUUAAUUCUGUAAAUAAUAGAUUGCUUAUCUGAAAUAUAGCUGAUAUUUGUUUCUUAAUUAUUUGGCUAUUCCCUAUAUGUUAUACUCUACUAAAGAUCAUGGGAUUUAGAUUCAGAAAACUUACUUCCUAGCUCUUAUUAUUUCUGUGAUCUUGCAAAAGAAAACAAAAAUGAACCAUUGUUUUUUUAUCUGUAACAGGAAAUGUACUUCACAGGAUUGUAAUGAGAAUUAAA